UACGUAGGGGGCUAGCGUUGUCCGGAAUCAUUGGGCGUAAAGCGCGUGUAGGCGGCCCGGUAAGUCCGCUGUGAAAGUCGGGGGCUCAACCCUCGAAAGCCGGUGGAUACUGUCGGGCUCGAGUGCGGAAGAGGCGAGUGGAAUUCCUGGUGUAGCGGUGAAAUGCGCAGAUAUCAGGAGGAACACCAAUGGCGAAGGCAGCUCGCUGGGACGUGACUGACGCUGAGACGCGAAAGCGUGGGGAGCAAACAGG
rnacentral:rRNA from 1 species